rnacentral:rRNA from 1 species
AACGAACGCUGGCGGCAGGCCUAACACAUGCAAGUCGAACGCCCCGCAAGGGGAGUGGCAGACGGGUGAGUAACGCGUGGGAAUCUCCCUUAUGGUACGGAAUAGCCCCGGGAAACUUGGAGUAAUACCGUAUAAGCUCGAAAGAGGAAAGAUUUAUCGCCAUAAGAUGAGCCCGCGUUGGAUUAGCUAGUUGGUGAGGUAACGGCUCACCAAGGCGACGAUCCAUAGCUGGUCUGAGAGGAUGAUCAGCCACACUGGGACUGAGACACGGCCCAGACUCCUACGGGAGGCAGCAGUGGGGAAUAUUGGACAAUGGGCGCAAGCCUGAUCCAGCCAUGCCGCGUGAGUGACGAAGGUCUUCGGAUUGUAAAGCUCUUUUGGCGGGGACGAUAAUGACGGUACCCGCAGAAUAAGCCCCGGCUAACUUCGUGCCAGCAGCCGCCGUAA